rnacentral:rRNA from 1 species
GAAACCGUUCAGGGGUAAACCUGAGAAACCCAAAAGAUCGAACGGGGAGAUUCAUCGUCAGCGGCGCUGGCCUCACGGUGGCGCGCGAUGUUCCGUACGCGGGUCUCGGCCCGUGGCACGCGAGCACGCCGUCGCCGACGAACGUCCGGCGCUGUAGUCGUGCACUUCUCCUCUAGUAGAACGUCGCGACCCGUUGGGUGUCGGUCUACGGCCCGAGCGGGCGUCUGUCGCGUCGCCUCGUGCGCACGCGGCAAACCCUCGGUAGCCCGACCGACUGCCCGGCGGUACUCGCACGGUAUAGGGCCGCAGCAACAACGACCCGGUCGUGUUCUGCGUCGGACCCGUCGCAAGCUUCGUCAGAUGUCGGGAGGUACGGACCUGGUGCCGUCCCCCGCGCUGGCUGGCUGUUAGCAGACGGUGCUCUCGGACAGGCCAAACUACGAAAUACCGGUCGGCGACGCUACUGCUUUGGGUACUCUCAGGACCCGUCUUGAAACACGGACCAAGGAGUCUAACAUGUGCGCGAGUCAUUGGGACAACAAAACCUAAAGGCGUAAUGAAAGUGAAGGUCGUCCUUAGCGUCGACCGAGGGAGGAUGGGCUGCGUCACGAUGCUGCUCCGCACUCCCGGGGCGUCUCGUUCUCGUCGCGAGAAGAGGCGCACCCAGAGCGUACACGUUGGGACCCGAAAGAUGGUGAACUAUGCCUGGUCAGGACGAAGUCAGGGGAAACCCUGAUGGAGGUCCGUAGCGAUUCUGACGUGCAAAUCGAUCGUCGGAACUGGGUAUAGGGGCGAAAGACUAAUCGAACCAUCUAGUAGCUGGUUCCCUCCGAAGUUUCCCUCAGGAUAGCUGGCACUCGCUCGCCCCUCGCGGGCGCUUGCGAGUCUCAUCUGGUAAAGCGAAUGAUUAGAGGCCUUGGGGCCGAAACGACCUCAACCUAUUCUCAAACUUUAAAUGGGUGAGAUCUCUGGCUUGCUUGAAGCAUGAAGCCACGAGAUUUAUGGAUCAGAGUGCCAAGUGGGCCAAUUUUGGUAAGCAGAACUGGCGCUGUGGGAUGAACCAAACGCAGAGUUAAGGCGCCUAAGUCGACGCUUAUGGGACACCAUGAAAGGCGUUGGUUGCUUAAGACAGCAGGACGGUGGCCAUGGAAGUCGGAAAYGAAACCGUUCAGGGGUAAACCUGAGAAAUCCAAAAGAUCGAAUGGGGAGAUUCAUCGUCAACGAGAAGGCUCCCGUUGGUGUGCGAUGUCCCAAGUGGAUCCUCGUGGUUCACUGGGAGGGCACGCCACCUACGGGUCGAAGACCGGCUUCGUAGUCGUGCACUUCUCCCCUAGUAGAACGUCGCGACCCGUUGUGUGUCGGUCUACGGCCCGGGGUCGAAGCCUGACACGUUCCUUGAGGCACACGCUGUCAGAUCCCCGGUAGCCUGGCCGGCUGCACGACGGUACUCGUACGGUAUCGGGCCGCAACCAAUCCAUUUUCGAAUGAGUGUGCGUCAGGCCCGUCGCAAGCGUCGAUUAGUAAAUCCGUGUAAACGCAUCUUGUGCCUUACCGGGCCUAGUCGUUCAGCUGUUAGCCGGCGGUGUCAUUGGACUGGCCAAAAUACGAAUUACCGGUCGGCGACGCUAUUGCUUUGGGUACUUUCAGGACCCGUCUUGAAACACGGACCAAGGAGUCUAACAUGUGCGCGAGUCAUUGGGACAGACAAACCUAAAGGCGAAAUGAAAGUGAAGGUCGACCUCAUUGCGUUGAUCAAGGGAGGAUGGGCCCCGUUACGAUGGGGCCUCGCACUCCCGGGGCGUCUCGUUCUCAUUGCGAGGAGAGGCGCACCUAGAGCGUACACGUUGGGACCCGAAAGAUGGUGAACUAUGCCUGGUCAGGACGAAGUCAGGGGAAACCCUGAUGGAGGUCCGUAGCGAUUCUGACGUGCAAAUCGAUCGUCGGAACUGGGUAUAGGGGCGAAAGACUAAUCGAACCAUCUAGUAGCUGGUUCCCUCCGAAGUUUCCCUCAGGAUAGCUGGCACUCGCUCGUUCCAUGUCGAACGCAGACGAGUCUCAUCUGGUAAAGCGAAUGAUUAGAGGCCUUGGGGCCGAAACGACCUCAACCUAUUCUCAAACUUUAAAUGGGUGAGAACUCUGGCUUGCUUGAAAUUAUGAAGCCAAAGAGAAAUAUAAUAUUAAUGGAUUAGAGUGCCAAGUGGGCCAAUUUUGGUAAGCAGAACUGGCGCUGUGGGAUGAACCAAACGCAGAGUUAAGGCGCUUAAGACGACGCUUAAUGGGAUACCAUGAAAGGCGUUGGUUGCUUAAGACAGCAGGACGGUGGCCAUGGAAGUCGGAA